ensembl:lncRNA
CAGCAGUGUUUGCAGACUGCUGAAACAGAUGAGAGAACUAUUCCCACCCUAACAUUUAUUUGGGUAUUUUUCUGAUUUUUAUUUGCAUUAGAUUUUGACUGGAUCAGUUCCCUUAUCUGACCUAUUGCAUAACUUAAGGAGUACCAGUGUCAGCGUGUGGGUGAAGGCAAGACCUCUGAAGAUACGAACACAACAGUGAAAUGAAAGAGCAGCUCAUCAAGAGCACUUUGGGUUCCUGGAGAAACUUCCCACAGUGCAAAAGAGUUUCUAAGCUGUCCUGAAGAAAAAGACAAACUUGGGAGGAGCAGAAGAUCCCUUGCUUGCUGUUGGUCUUCAUUGUCAGAGCCAGUUUCUGGAAGAUCUGAAAUCUCUUCUGACAGACCCACUGGGAUCUCUGGUGGCUUGGCUGCUGAGUAGGCACAUUGAAGAAAAUCAAAAACUAUGUCUUCUGUUUAGGCCUAAAAUAUGGUUGUGUGCUGUGUCCAACCACCAGCUCUCCCGGAAAGUUCCUCUUCAGAGGAGGAAGAUAGCCUAUGUCUGCAGGCAGCGCAUGCCCUCCGAGUUUCCAGUGGCCAGUGCCCUG